GAUGAACGCUGGCGGCGUGCCUAAUACAUGCAAGUCGAGCGAACAGACGAGGAGCUUGCUCCUCUGACGUUAGCGGCGGACGGGUGAGUAACACGUGGAUAACCUACCUAUAAGACUGGGAUAACUUCGGGAAACCGGAGCUAAUACCGGAUAAUAUAUUGAACCGCAUGGUUCAAUAGUGAAAGACGGUUUUGCUGUCACUUAUAGAUGGAUCCGCGCCGCAUUAGCUAGUUGGUAAGGUAACGGCUUACCAAGGCAACGAUGCGUAGCCGACCUGAGAGGGUGAUCGGCCACACUGGAACUGAGACACGGUCUAGACUCCUACGGGAGGCAGCAGUAGGGAAUCUUCCGCAAUGGGCGAAAGCCUGACGGAGCAACGCCGCGUGAGUGAUGAAGGUCUUCGGAUCGUAAAACUCUGUUAUUAGGGAAGAACAAAUGUGUAAGUAACUAUGCACGUCUUGACGGUACCUAAUCAGAAAGCCACGGCUAACUACG
rnacentral:rRNA from 1 species